UACGGAUGAUCCGAGCGUUAUCCGGAUUUAUUGGGUUUAAAGGGUGCGCAGGCGGGAUGUUAAGUCGGCGGUGAAAUUUUGCAGCUCAACUGUAAAAGUGCCUUCGAUACUGGCUUUCUUGAGUGUGGAUGAAGUAGGCGGAAUUUGUGGUGUAGCGGUGAAAUGCAUAGAUAUUACAAGGAACUCCGAUUGCGAAGGCAGCUUACUAAAAUACAACUGACGCUCAGGCACGAAGGCGUGGGUAUCAAACAGGAUUAGAUACCCU
rnacentral:rRNA from 1 species